rnacentral:rRNA from 1 species
AGAGACAGCAGCCGCCACGGUAAUACGGAAGGUCCAGGUGUUAUCCGGAUUUAUUGGGUUUAAAGGGAGCGUAGGCCGCAGGUUAAGUGUGUUGUGAAAAGCAGUCGCCCAACGUCUGCCUUGCAGCGCAAACUGUCCUGCUUGAGUGCGCACAACGCAGGCGGAAUUCGUCGUGUAGCGGUGAAAUGCUUAGAUAUGACGAAGAACUCCGAUUGCGAAGGCAGCUUGCGGGAGCGCAACUGACGCUGAAGCUCGAAAGUGCGGGUAUCGAACAGGAUUAGAUACCCCAGUAGUCCCUGUCUCUUAUAA